GACGAACGCUGGCGGCGUGCUUAACACAUGCAAGUCGAACGAAAAUACCAAGCUUGCUUGGUUGAUUAGUGGCGAACGGGUGAGUAACACGUGAGUAACCUGCCCCUUACUUUCCUGGAUAACUGCUCGAAAGGGUAGCUAAUACGGGAUAUUCUGACUAGCCUGCAUGGGUUGGUUUGGAAAGGUUGUUUUUCUGGUAAGGGAUGGGCUCGCGGCCUAUCAGCUUGUUGGUGGGGUGAUGGCCUACCAAGGCUUUGACGGGUAGCCGGCCUGAGAGGGUGGACGGUCACACUGGGACUGAGAUACGGCCCAGACUCCUACGGGAGGCAGCAGUGGGGAAUAUUGCACAAUGGGCGCAAGCCUGAUGCAGCGACGCCGCGUGAGGGAUGAAGGCCUUCGGGUUGUAAACCUCUUUCGUCAGGGAACAAGGCACCGUCUUUUUGGUGGUGUUGAGGGUACCUGGAUAAGAAGCGCCGGCUAACUACGUGCCAGCAGCCGCGGUAAUACGUAGGGCGCAAGCGUUGUCCGGAAUUAUUGGGCGUAAAGAGCUCGUAGGCGGCUGGUCGCGUCUGUCGUGAAAACUUCCGGCUCAACCGGGGGCUUGCGGUGGGUACGGGCCGGCUAGAGUGCGGUAGGGGUAACUGGAACUCCUGGUGUAGCGGUGGAAUGCGCAGAUAUCAGGAAGAACACCGAUGGCGAAGGCAGGUUACUGGGCCGUUACUGACGCUGAGGAGCGAAAGCGUGGGGAGCGAACAGG
rnacentral:rRNA from 1 species